AGAGUUUGAUUCUGGCUCAGAACGAACGCUGGCAGCGUGGAUUAGGCAUGCAAGUCGAACGAGAAGCCGUGUAUUCAAUCCUUCGGGAGAGAAUGUGCGGUGGACAGUGGCGGAAGGGUGAGGAACGCGUGGGCAAUCUGCCUCUAAGUUGGGGACAACCCUGCGAAAGCGGGGCUAAUACCGGAUGUGGUCUCCCGGCGCCUGUCGGGAUGACUAAAGGUGGGGAUCUUUCGAGACCUGCCGCUUAGAGAGGAGCCCGCGUCCCAUCAGCUUGUUGGUGAGGUAAUGGCUCACCAAGGCUUACGGGUAGCUGGUCUGAGAGGAUGGUCAGCCACACUGGGACUGAGACACUGCCCAGUCUCCUACGGGAGGCUGCAGUCGAGGAUCAUUUGCAAUGCGCGAAAGCGUGACAAUGCGACGCUGCGUGGAGGAUGAAGGCUCUCGGGUUGUAAACUCCUGUCAUUCGGGAAAAAUGGCGAGAGGGUUAAUACCCCUUUCGAUUGAUGGUACCGAAAGAGGAAGCCACGGCUAACUCUGUGCCAGCAGCCGCGGUAAUACAGAGGUGGCGAGCGUUGUUCGGAUUUACUGGGCGUAAAGGGUGCGUAGGUGGUUUUGUGUGUCGGAUGUGAAAGCCCACUGCCUAACGGUGGAACUGCAUUCGAAACUGCAGAACUUGAGUACAGGAAGGGAGAGCGGAAUUCUUGGUGUAGCGGUGAAAUGCGUUGAUAUCAAGAAGAACACCGGUGGCGAAGGCGGCUCUCUGGAAUGUUACUGACACUGAGGCACGAAAGCUGGGGGAGCGAACAGGAUUAGAUACCCUGGUAGUCCCAGCCGUAAACGGUGUGCACUUGGUGUAGGGGGUAUUGACUCCUCCUGUGCCGGAGCUAACGCGUUAAGUGCACCGCCUGGGGAGUACGGCCGCAAGGCUAAAACUCAAAGAAAUUGACGGGGGCCCGCACAAGCGGAGGAGCAUGUGGCUCAAUUCGAUGCAACGCGAAGAACCUUACCAGGACUUGACAUGUAACUGCAAGCCCGCCGAAAGGUGGGAAGCCUUCGAGGGUGUUACACAGGUGCUGCAUGGCUGUCGUCAGUUCGUGCCGUGAGGUGUUGGGUUAAGUCCCGCAACGAACGCAACCCCUGUGUUUAGUUGCUAUCGUCGGUGAUGAGCCGGCGAGCACUCUAGACAGACUGCCCGUACAAGCGGGAGGAAGGUGGGGAUGACGUCAAGUCAGUAUGGCCCUUACGUCCUGGGCUGCACGCGUGCUACAAUGGUCGGUACAGAGGGAUGCAAGACCGCGAGGUGGAGCAAAUCCCCAACGUCGGCCCCAGUUCGGAUUGGAGUCUGCAACUCGACUCCAUGAAGUUGGAUUCGCUAGUAACGGCGUAUCAGCUACGGCGCCGUGAAUACGUUCCCGGGCCUUGUACACACCGCCCGUCACAUCAUGAAAGCCGUCUGCACCAGAAGUCGUUGAGCCAACCUUGUUCGCGCAAGUGUUACGAGGAGGCAGGCGCCGAAGGUGUGGGUGGUGAUUGGGAUGAAGUCGUAACAAGGUA
rnacentral:rRNA from 1 species